UGCAGCCACGCGCGCGUGGCACGAGAGACAGCGACGGCCGCAGUCUAAAACAGCACGGCAUGAGCGCGCAACGGACGGGCGCGUGCAACAAGGAGCCAUGGAGCGCCAGUGUUGCUCGCCUGUUGCCACUCGAAGGUCUAUGUUUUUGUUCUUACUGUUGAGAAUCACAAUUUGUAGUUACAUAGGAAAUUGAGCUUUGGGGGAGAUUGGAUUUGCAGUUUUUUGUCCUUUGACUGAGUAAUUUUAGUUUCUGAAAUUUAAGUAGAGCAAAGCUUUAGAAUGGCUGAUUUUAGAGUUAGAAGGCUUGACCCAGCUCAGACAAAGAUCAGAAAUGUUCCCAUUGCAGUGACUCCAGAAGGGUUCUGGUGUUGCCCUUCCCCUGCUGUACUUCAAAAGACCCUCAAAAAUCAUAAUCACCAAAGCAAACAAAAAGGGUCACCACCACCAUUGAAGGAUCCUUCAGUUCAGAAGGCUUCAACACCUCCAACAGAAAAGAUACCACUUUCUAACCAGUUAAAAUCUAGGGCUGUUUCCGAUGAUCAGCGAUGUAUGACCCUGGAUGCUUCUGCUGCAAGUCCAACAAAAGCUCCUGAGAGGCCACCAAAAUCAAAUGGUGAGAACCAACAACGAAAGAUACGUGUUGGAUUUGGUCAGCCUGAGACCAGCGAUUUGAAAGUCAUUUUGUUUGGAAAGGAAGGGAUUGUUGUGAGAAUGAGUGUUCACAGGAACAUUCUUGCAGAACAUAGCAGCUUCUUCGCAGAUAAGCUCUCUACAGAGUCUCCAGUACCAUAUAUUGAAAUAAUGGACUGUGAGGAUGUGGAGAUUUAUGUUGAGACUGUGGGAUUGAUGUACUCUAAAGAAGUGAAGCACAGAUUGAUCAAGCAAAGUGUUCCACGUAUACUCUGCAUUCUAAAGGUUGCAGAAUCACUUGGCUACCGUUCCUGCGUCAAGUCAUGCUUAGAUUAUCUGGAAGCAGUUCCUUGGGUUGGAGAAGAAGAAGAGAAUGUGGUAACAUCUAUCCGACACCUUCAGAAUGAUAAGUAUGGAGUCAAUCCUAUACUGAAACGAGUAGCUUCUGACAUCUCCAAUCCUCCUAAUGAUACACUUACUCGUGUAUUGGAGCUGGUUCUCAAAAGCAAUGAGGAUCGAGGUCGCCGAGAGACGAAAUCCUUGGUGUUGAAGCUUUUUAAGGAAAAUAAUCUUUGGACCAAUGGAUCUGCAGACAUAUGCACUGAAACUUUAAAUGGUUCUUGUCAGAACUGCUUAGACUCGCUAUUAGCUCUUUUAAGACAAGCAUCUGAACCUGGUUUUGUGGAUAAAUCUUUGGAAAGCAAAGAUCCUGUUGUUCGGCGGAUAGCUCUAGAGGCAGAUAAUCUUCUUUGGCUAGUUGAGAUUUUGGCUGACAGGCAUAUGGCAGGUGAGUUUGCAGUGAUGUGGAGUAGCCAGAAUGAGCUAGCUGAAUUACACUCAAAGUUACCAAUUGUGUCACGUCACCCAGUGAGCUCCAUCACAGCUAGGCUUUUUGUUGCAAUUGGAAGAGGAGAGAUGCUUCCAUCAAAGGACACCCGCCAGCAGCUGUUACAUGUUUGGUUGCAGCCACUUAUCGAUGACUACAGUUGGUUACAGCAUGGAUGUAGAUCAUUUGAUCGAAAGGUUGUGGAGGAAGGAAUUGGUCAAACCAUUCUUACACUUCCUUUGGAAGAUCAGCAAAAUAUUUUGCUCUCAUGGUUGGGAAGUUUCUUAAAGGUUGGCGAUAACUGCCCAAAUCUUCAGAGAGCCUUUGAGGUCUGGUGGAGGAGGACUUUCAUAAGGCCAUAUGUUGAACAGCAGGGAAACCUUGCACAAUUAGAUAGAAGUUGACCUAGAGUUGGACAAGAAGAAAGAAACGAGUCCAUCUUAUUGCUAGAAUGUCAGUUACGCAAUGUAUGGCAUGAGAACAAAGAAAAACUUUCUAUUGAGAUUUGAAGAUUGGAGAGAGAUGCUUUUAGAUUUUAAUGCACUGUACACUGUUUUGUUGGUGGACAGUGUCAGGAGACCGACCCAUGAGAUUAGUAGACAGGCAGUGUUAAGAUUCAAAUGCAAAUGCCUUGCUAUAUCCACAUCUCACCUUGUCGCAACCAUCUGGUAGGAAAACAGUCAUCCGGAAGCAUCACAUUGCCUCCAGAAAGUAUUCGAUGGAAGUGAUUGCUUUUAUAGCUCCGCAUAUGGGAGAGGGUAUGCUGCACUGAAUCAACAACUGCUGCUGAACCAAGAAGGUAUUAAACCUGCAGGCAAUUUUAUUAUGGCAAGGACCUGCUUAUGGACAGCCUGGGUUGCAUGCACUAGUGGUGAAUAAGGUUGUUUUGACUGUCAAUAAUUUAUUCAUCUCUAGUUUUAUAUGAUUAUCUAGUGUUUUACAUGCAGUCCUAGCAUAUUGAAAUUGACUAUCACCUCAUCAGCAAGAAUAAAAAUCUUAUUCAGUACUUCUUUAAACACCUUAUACCAAGGAUAUCGUGCAGCUUCAAGAUCCCUUCCACUUUUCGGUAGGCCUUGAUCCAGAGUUGCUCAAAGAUGACAUCGUACCUGUAUGUUAAUUGUUAAAGGCUCUGUUGUGGUUACGAUUAUCAGCUCCUGACAUCUUCUACGUGCUUACAUGCCUUGAACUAAUCUAAAGGGAAUUCUUGUGCUUUUGCUGAAGCCAAUACUUUGUCAUGUUAUAUAUGAGAUGUUAUAUUUGCUAUGAUUUAUAUUUAUAUUGGCCGCAGCGUGUUCAUGAUGCUAGGGACAUGUAAAUGGGAUACUUCAAAGAUAUUACGGGUCUUAGCUUGCUUCAGGUU